rnacentral:rRNA from 1 species
UUGAAAGGGAAACGAUUGAAGUCAGUCGUACCAGCGGGAAAUCAACCUUUCGAGUGGGGUUUUGGGGUUUUGAAGAGUGUUAAGCCUUUGAGAUUUCGAAACGUUCGCUCUUUUGGUGUACUUUCUNGUAGGUAGGUUAGCAUCGAUUUUGAUCAUCAUAGAAAGAUUGGAGGAAUGUAGCUUCGAUCUCGUAUUGAAGUGUUAUAGCCUUUGGUAAAUGUGAUGGUUAGGAUCGAGGAUUGCAACGAAUACCCUUUUGGGCUAUCCGCCUGAUCUCUGAUACGUGCCCUUGGUAUCGAAAGCGUGCUUAUGGUAUUAAGUAUUACGGUCAAAAGGUUAGAACGGAUUACAUUCGUUAAGGAUGUUGACGUA